rnacentral:rRNA from 1 species
AGUGAACGCUGGCGGUAGGCCUAACACAUGCAAGUCGAACGGCAGCACAGUAAGAGCUUGCUCUUACGGGUGGCGAGUGGCGGACGGGUGAGGAAUACAUCGGAAUCUACUUUUUCGUGGGGGAUAACGUAGGGAAACUUACGCUAAUACCGCAUACGACCUACGGGUGAAAGCAGGGGAUCUUCGGACCUUGCGCGAAUGAAUGAGCCGAUGUCGGAUUAGCUAGUUGGCGGGGUAAAGGCCCACCAAGGCGACGAUCCGUAGCUGGUCUGAGAGGAUGAUCAGCAAAACUGGAACUGAGCAACGGUCCAGACUCCUACGGGAGGCAGCAGUGGGGAAUAUUGGACAAUGGGCGCAAGCCUGAUCCAGCCAUACCGCGUGGGUGAAGAAGGCCUUCGGGUUGUAAAGCCCUUUUGUUGGGAAAGAAAAGCAGCAGGUUAAUACCCCGCUGUUCUGACGGUACCCAGAGAAUAAGCACCGGCUAACUUCGUG